UAAAUUCACUUAGUAAUUGUUAUUUGCUGAAAAUAAUCAUGUUUCUGUUAUAGUAUCUAUUUUGAAAUAUUGAUGUUGGCUUUUCCAUGGAAAUAUGUUUAUAAUGCGGAGAAUGUUCUCUUGUAACUGAGGUGAAAUUGGUAAUCAGACUGAUUAUAUCAACAUGGACCAUCCCACAUCUUCUCAGGCUCUAAGAUGUUCAUAUCAGAAUGCUGAAGAAUUUGUGCUCUUUUGAAGCAUGCAAGGCCAAAGCAAGAUAGUUGGUUCAUUUUGGAUAUCAAUGUCUUGGAUGGUACAAUGAUGGCUCCAUCUACCCCAUUC